AACUGAAAGAUGUUGACAGUUGGUGGCUUCUAGAGGAGGAGGAGUCAGCUUUCCUUAUGGUGCUGAUACAAGGUGGAAGUCAUUGUCCCUGCAGCUCAGCUCUAUGGCCUUUGGACUAAAGAAUUUUGGCUGCAGAGCCGGAUGAUGGGCUCAUUCACUUACGCUUUUCAACAUUUCCCUUUUCCAGGAAAUGUGAACUCCCGCCGUGUGGCUCUUACUGAGGCCCGUGAGGAAUGCUUCAUCAUCUUUGGGGAAAAGAAUCAGGGAUGAACUUCGUCCUAAUAUUCCAGAACCUGCCAGAAGUCACUAGGACACUAGUGAUAAGCAGCAGGUGGACUCCAGCUGGUCCAGCUGAGGUCCCAGUGUCCAGGAACCCUGCCUCCAGAGCUCACUUUUCUCUCCAUUCCCAGUCGUUGUUCCUGCUCUCUGCAGGCCAGGAUCUAGGACCAGGUAAUGUGAAACACUGCCUCGUGAUCCUCAUUGAGGCUUUGGAGAAAUGUUUUCGUCAUCUCUGGCAAAAGGUGAGAUAUCCUUGGCAUGGUGAUAUCGGAGACUCAACUCUGCAGUGUUCUAGUGAUCCAAGCAAAUGCCAUGGCUGAUGGGAUUUGCAAAACUACAAGUAGAGGUCAUCCUUCCUUGUAGGUCCCUAAAGAUGAAGGUGGAGAGAGCUGGGUGGAGCUGCAGGCUAUGGAAACGGACUGACGGGCCUAAUUGCUGCAUUUCUUUCUGAUUCCGCCAUUCCUUCCAACCUCUUAGAAUUCAGCGUCUUUCUUGGAGUCCCAUUCUCCCCUCUGUGUCUUUCCUAGUUCAGAUACACGUGGUGGCAGAUCUCUGAGUUGAAGACCAGCCUAGACUACAGAGCAAAUUCCAGGGCAGUCAAGGCUACAGAGAGAAACCCUGUCUUGAUAAAUAAACAAACAAACCACUGCUGUAUUGGCAGACGGGCAGUGCUGUGCAGGCAGCCUCAGCGGCUGGUCACACUUGCAAUUGAUUGCCUUUAAGGUUGGGGUGGCUGCUGGCCCGCCCCUAUGCAGAUCUUGCCAAAGUCUUGCUUGCUGUUUGGAGUCCUUGUGAAAGCUACUGUCUAUAUUUUGGUUCCCACUAGCUUUUCACCUCGCAGAAAUUCUUUUAUGCAGCCUCUCGAGACCUGUUUAUCAGGCUUUGGUGUGUGUCAUCCACGAUUUUUGGUUUGCCAUUCCCAAGAGGUCUCAGGCUGCCAAGACGAUGCAACAACAGAAAUCAUUUGGCAAUGUUUUUUCUUUUGGUUUUUUUCCAUCUUCUCUGUUGCUUUCCAGGGCUGAACACCCAGAACCAAGUGGAGUGGAUUUUUUUCUAGCUUCUGCUAUUGCCAGCGUUGUCCUGGGUAUUGAGUCACCCCCUCCUCCACACCCUCAUAAACAUGCAGUGCGCCAUCACUCCCUCCCCCAUUUGGGGUGCCCACUGCUUUUCUCGUAGCUCUUCUCAGCUUUCUCCAGGUUGUUUUCUGGAGAUGAUCCUUUCCUACUUCAGGGUUGCUCCAUGUCUUCUGUUCUCAUGUGCGUUUGUUAAGGUGUAGAACGGGUGUGUGUAAAUUUGCAGAUGGCCACGAGAUGUCGCUCUACACCCGCGGUAUCUGUUCUGUUACUGACUAGGGAUGUUUAAGCGGUGGGUUUCUGAGUGACAGCAGUCUUGAGCUGUUUUUUUGGAGUGCAGUAAAUGUAUCGCAUCCUUCAUUAAGACUUGAAGGAAUACAAAAUCAAACACUGUGCCUGGGAAGACUCUCUAAGGAUUUAUGCGUCGGUUAUCUAUUUUCUUUAUUGUUCAAAAUUCUCUACGACAUUCUCUUGCCUCGAUUUGCCUGGAUAGUCGCCAGGUGAAAAAAGUUAUGCAGCAAUAUCUGUAUGCUAGUAGCUGUUUGAAAUGAUUUUCAAAACUUUCAGGAAGAUUUAACUUAGUUAUGGACAUACAGGUUUCAGACUUUUUCGUACACUCAAAACUCAUUACAACUAGUUUUUCUUUAGUGUGAUGAUUGUAUGAAUAACACCAUCUCUGUAAGUGUGAACCCUGUUAAGAAGUUGAGCCUGUUUGUAAGAAGGCAUUCAGUAAUAGUUUUUGUUUUUUAAAUGAAUAAGUUGGAAGAAUAACUUGAAAUUUUGACGAAAGGCUAUUUUGUAACACUUGUUAAAUGCCCUUAAGAAUGAUCUGGUCCCUUCUUUAUUUUAUUUUAAUGAUAAUGGCAUCAAUUUAAUAAAGGUAAUGGUUUAAAAAUA